AGAGUUAAACAGUACGUGAAAUUGUUGAAAGGGAAACGAUUGAAGUCAGUCGUGCUAGUGAAAAUUCAGUUUGACGGGUUUUGGGUUCGGGAGUAGAAGCAGGGUCAAACCGUUUCUCUUUUGGACUUUGGAUUUGUCAGAUGCACUUUUUCUUUGGCAGGUCAGCGUCGAUUUCGGAGGUUGUAAAAUAUCUGGGGGAAAGUAGCUCUGCUUCGGGAGAGUGUUAUAGACCUUGGAGGAUGCAGCCUGUGGGAUCGAGGAUUGCAGCAAAUGCCUUUGGCUUGUCGCCUGAUCUCUGGAUGUUACCUCGCUUGUGACAACAUUCUUGCCACCGGUGGGUACUAAUGACUAUUAGGUUAGAGCGAUCAAAAAUUUUGCUAAGGAUGUUGACGUAAUGGCUUUAAACGACC
rnacentral:sRNA from 1 species